UACGUAGGGUGCGAUCGUUAAUCGGAAUUACUGGGCGGAACGCGUGCGCAGGCGGUUCGCCAAGUCAGGUGUGAAAUCCCCGGGCUUAACCUGGGAAUUGCGCUUGAAACUAGCGGGCUUGAGUGUGGCAGAGGGGGGUGGAAUUCCACGUGUAGCAGUGAAAUGCGUAGAGAUGUGGAGGAACACCGAUGGCGAAGGCAGCCCCCUGGGUCAACACUGACGCUCAUGCACGAAAGCGUGGGGAGCAAACAGG
rnacentral:rRNA from 1 species